AUUUUUGAGCUGAAAAUUUUUUUAAAUUUUUUUUCUGAUUUUUUAUUAUUUUUUUAAUUUAAAGCAUUAUUUGAGUGAAAAGAAACACAUUGCAACAAAUUUGCAUGAAAAUAUAUGACAUUUAAAAAUUUUGCUGAAUUGCUCAAAAAUGAGGAAAAUUUUACAUUUUUUCAAACAGGGUAAGGAACUUGGUUCCUCGAAUAACUUCUGCCACAGACAUUUGAGGGCAUGGCCGUCCAAGAAGAAAAUGUAGCCAUUGGUGCCAUCUAUCGACCACAGGUUGAAGAUUGGCGAUUCGUUGGAUAUCAACCGAGUUAUAGGCAAAACUUGCUGCAAAAAUGAGGAAAAUUUUACAUUUUCUCAAACAGGGUAAGGAACUUGGUUCCUCGAAUAACUUCUGCCACAGACAUCUGAGGGCAUGGCGGUCCAAGAAGAAAAUGUAGCCAUUGGUGUCAUCUAUCGACCACAGAUUAAAGAUUGGCGAUCCGUUGGAUACCGACCGAGUUAUAGGCAAAACUUGAUGCAAAAAUGAGCCUUAGUUUUAUUUUUUUAAUCUUUUGAUUUUUUUAUUAUUUUUCACAAUUUUUUUUAUUUGAAGCAUUACUGGAGUGAAAAGAAACACAUUGCAACCGAUUGGCAUUUAAAUAAAUCAAUUUCAUUUUUUUUGCAAAAUUUCCCAAAAAAAUCGUAAGGGGUAAGCCUUAUGAAAUUUUCGAGCUGAAAAUUUUUUUAAAUUUUUUUUCUGAUUUUUUAUUAUUAUUUUAAUUUAAAGCAUUAUUUGAGUGAAAAGAAACACAUUGCAACAAAUUUGCAUGAAAAUAUAUGACAUUUAAAAAUUUUGCUAAAUUGCUCAAAAAUGAGGAAAAUUUUACAUUUUUUCAAACAGGGUAAGGAACUUGGUUCCUCGAAUAACUUCUGCCACAGACAUCUGAGGGCAUGGCCGUCCAAGAAGAAAAUGUAGCCAUUGGUGCCAUCUAUCGACCACAGGUUGAAGAUUGGCGAUUCGUUGGAUAUCAACCGAGUUAUAGGCAAAACUUGCUGCAAAAAUGAGGAAAAUUUUACAUUUUCUCAAACAGGGUAAGGAACUUGGUUCCUCGAAUAACUUCUGCCACAGACAUCUGAGGGCAUGGCGGUCCAAGAAGAAAAUGUAGCCAUUGGUGCCAUCUAUCGACCACAGGUUAAAGAUCGGCGAUCCGUUGGAUACCGACCGAGAUAUAGGCAAAACUUGGUGCAAAAAUGAGCCUUAGUUUUAUUUUUUUAAUCUUUUGAUUUUUUUAUUAUUUUUCACUCUUUUUUUAUUUGAAGCAUUACUAGAGUGAAAAGAAACACAUUGCAACCAAUUGGCAUUAAAAUAAAUCAAUUUCAUUUUUUUAGCAAAAUUUCCCAAAAAAAUCGUAAGGGGUAAGCCUUAUGAAAUUUUUGAGCUGAAAAUUUUUUUAAAUUUUUUUUCUGAUUUUUUAUUAUUUUUUUAAUUUAAAGCAUUAUUUGAGUGAAAAGAAACACAUUGCAACAAAUUUGCAUGAAAAUAUAUGACAUUUAAAAAUUUUGCUGAAUUGCUCAAAAAUGAGAAAAAUUUUACAUUUUUUCAAACAGGGUAAGGAACUUGGUUCCUCGAAUAACUUCUGCCACAGACAUCUGAGGGCAUGGCCGUCCAAGAAGAAAAUGUAGCCAUUGGUGCCAUCUAUCGACCACAGGUUAAAGAUUGGCGAUCCGUUGGAUACCGACCGAGUUAUAGGCAAAACUUGGUGCAAAAAUGAGGAAAAUUUUACAUUUUUUCAAACAGGGUAAGGAACUUGGUUCCUCGAAUAACUUCUGCCACAGACAUCUGAGGGCAUGGCCUUCCAAAAAGAAAAUGUAGCCAUUGGUGUCAUCUAUCGACCACAGAUUAAAGAUUGGCGAUCCGUUGGAUACCGACCGAGUUAUAGGCAAAACUUGAUGCAAAAAUGAGCCUUAGUUUUAUUUUUUUAAUCUUUUGAUUUUUUUAUUAUUUUUCACAAUUUUUUUUAUUUGAAGCAUUACUGGAGUGAAAAGAAACACAUUGCAACCGAUUGGCAUUUAAAUAAAUCAAUUUCAUUUUUUUUGCAAAAUUUCCCAAAAAAAUCGUAAGGGGUAAGCCUUAUGAAAUUUUCGAGCUGAAAAUUUUUUUAAAUUUUUUUUCUGAUUUUUUAUUAUUAUUUUAAUUUAAAGCAUUAUUUGAGUGAAAAGAAACACAUUGCAACAAAUUUGCAUGAAAAUAUAUGACAUUUAAAAAUUUUGCUAAAUUGCUCAAAAAUGAGGAAAAUUUUACAUUUUUUCAAACAGGGUAAGGAACUUGGUUCCUCGAAUAACUUCUGCCACAGACAUCUGAGGGCAUGGCCGUCCAAGAAGAAAAUGUAGCCAUUGGUGCCAUCUAUCGACCACAGGUUGAAGAUUGGCGAUUCGUUGGAUAUCAACCGAGUUAUAGGCAAAACUUGGUGCAAAAAUGAGGAAAAUUUUACAUUUUCUCAAACAGGGUAAGGAACUUGGUUCCUCGAAUAACUUCUGCCACAGACAUCUGAGGGCAUGGCCGUCCAAGAAGAAAAUGUAGCCAUUGGUGCCAUCUAUCGACCACAGGUUGAAGAUUGGCGAUUCGUUGGAUAUCAACCGAGUUAUAGGCAAAACUUGGUGCAAAAAUGAGGAAAAUUUUACAUUUUCUCAAACAGGGUAAGGAACUUGGUUCCUCGAAUAACUUCUGCCACAGAUAUCUGAGGGCAUGGCCGUCCAAGAAGAAAAUGUAGCCAUUGGUGCCAUCUAUCGACCACAGGUUAAAGAUUGGCGAUCCGUUGGAUACCGACCGAGUUAUAGGCAAAACUUGGUGCAAAAAUGAGCCUUAGUUUUAUUUUUUUUAAUCUUUUGAUUUUUUUAUUAUUUUUCACUAUUUUUUUUAUUUGAAGCAUUACUAGAGUGAAAAGAAACACAUUGCAACCAAUUGGCAUUAAAAUAAAUCAAUUUCAUUUUUUUUGCAAAAUUUCCCAAAAAAAUCGUAAGGGGUAAGCCUUAUGAAAUUUUCGAGCUGAAAAUUUUUUUUAAAAUUUUUUUCUGAUUUUUUAUUAUUUUUUUAAUUUAAAGCAUUAUUUGAGUGAAAAGAAACACAUUGCAACAAAUUUGCAUGAAAAUAUAUGACAUUUAAAAAUUUUGCUAAAUUGCUCAAAAAUGAGGAAAAUUUUACAUUUUUUCAAACAGGGUAAGGAACUUGGUUCCUCGAAUAACUUCUGCCACAGACAUCUGAGGGCAUAUCCGUCCAAGAAGAAAAUGUAGCCAUUGGUGCCAUCUAUCGACCACAUGUUGAAGAUUGGCGAUUCGUUGGAUAUCAACCGAGAUAUAGGCAAAACUUGCUGCAAAAAUGAGGAAAAUUUUACAUUUUUUCAAACAGGGUAAGGAACUUGGUUCCUCGAAUAAUUUCUGCCACAGACAUCUGAGGGCAUAUCCGUCCAAGAAGAAAAUGUAGCCAUUGGUGUCAUCUAUCGACCACAGGGUGAAGAUUGGCGAUUCGUUGGAUAUCAACCGAGUUAUAGGCAAAACUUGCUGCAAAAAUGAGGAAAAUUUUACAUUUUCUCAAACAGGGUAAGGAACUUGGUUCCUCGAAUAACUUCCGGCACGAACACCUGAGAGCAUGGCUGUCCAAGAAGAAAAUGUAGCCAUUGGUGCCAUCUAUCGACCACAGGUUAAAGAUCGGCGAUCCGUUGGAUACCGACCGAGAUAUAGGCAAAACUUGGUGCAAAAAUGAGCCUUAGUUUUAUUUCUUUUAAUCUUUUGAUUUUUUUAUUAUUUUUCACAAUUUUUUUUAUUUGAAGCAUUACUGGAGUGAAAAGAAACACAUUGCAACCAAUUGGCAUUAAAAUAAAUCAAUUUCAUUUUUUUUGCAAAAUUUCCCAAAAAAAUCGUAAGGGGUAAGCCUUAUGAAAUUUUCGAGCUGAAAUUAUUUUUAAAUUUUUUUCUGAUUUUUUAUUAUUUUUUUAAUUCAAAGCAUUAUUUGAGUGAAAAGAAACACAUUGCAACAAAUUUGCAUGAAAAUAUAUGACAUUUAAAAAUUUUGCUAAAUUGCUCAAAAAUGAGGAAAAUUUUACAUUUUUUCAAACAGGGUAAGGAACUUGGUUCCUCGAAUAACUUCUGCCACAGACAUCUGAGGGCAUAUCCGUCCAAGAAGAAAAUGUAGCCAUUGGUGCCAUCUAUCGACCACAGGUUAAAGAUUGGCGAUUUGUUGGAUAUCAACCGAGUUAUAGGCAAAACUUGCUGCAAAAAUGAGGAAAAUUUUACAUUUUCUCAAACAGGGUAAGGAACUUGGUUCCUCGAAUAACUUCUGCCACAGACAUCUGAGGGCAUGGCCGUCCAAGAAGAAAAUGUAGCCAUUGGUGCCAUCUAUCGACCACAGGUUAAAGAUCGGCGAUCCGUUGGAUACCGACCGAGAUAUAUGCAAAACUUGGUGCAAAAAUGAGCCUUAGUUUUAUUUUUUUAAUCUUUUGAUUUUUUUAUUAUUUUUCACUCUUUUUUUUAUUUGAAGCAUUACUGGAGUGAAAAGAAACACAUUGCAACCAAUUGGCAUUAAAAUAAAUCAAUUUCAUUUUUUUUGCAAAAUUUCCCAAAAAAAAUCGUAAGGGGUAAGCCUUAUGAAAUUUUCGAGCUGAAAAUUUUUUUAAAAUUUUUUUCUGAUUUUUUAUUAUUUUUUUAAUUUAUAGCAUUAUUUGAGUGAAAAGAAACACAUUGCAACCAAUUGGCAUUAAAAUAAAUCAAUUUCAUUUUUUUUGCAAAAUUUCCCAAAAAAAAUCGUAAGGGGUAAGCCUUAUGAAAUUUUCGAGCUGAAAAUUUUUUUAAAUUUUUUUUCUGAUUUUUUAUUAUUUUUUUAAUUUAAAGCAUUAUUUGAGUGAAAAGAAACACGUUGCAACAAAUUCGCAUGAAAAUAUAUGACAUUUAAAAAUUUUGCUGAAUUGCUCAAAAAUGAGGAAAAUUUUACAUUUUUUCAAACAGGGUAAGGAACUUGGUUCCUCGAAUAACUUCUGCCACAGACAUCUGAGGGCAUGGCCGUCCAAGAAGAAAAUGUAGCCAUUGGUGCCAUCUAUCGACCACAGGUUAAAGAUUGGCGAUCCGUUGGAUACCGACCGAGUUAUAGGCAAAACUUGAUGCAAAAAUGAGCCUUAGUUUUAUUUUUUUUAUCUUUUGAUUUUUUUAUUAUUUUUCACUAUUUUUUUUAUUUGAAGCAUUACUGGAGUGAAAAGAAACACAUUGCAACCAAUUGGCAUUAAAAUAAAUCAAUUUCAUUUUUUUUGCAAAAUUUCCCAAAAAAAUCGUAAGGGGUAAGCCUUAUGAAAUUUUCGAGCUGAAAUUUUUUUUAAAUUUUUUUUCUGAUUUUUUAUUAUUUUUUUAAUUUAAAGCAUUAUUUGAGUGAAAAGAAACACAUUGCAACAAAUUUGCAUGAAAAUAUAUGACAUUUAAAAAUUUUGCUAAAUUGCUCAAAAAUGAGGAAAAUUUUACAUUUUUUCAAACAGGGUAAGGAACUUGGUUCCUCGAAUAACUUCUGCCACAGACAUCUGAGGGCAUGGCCGUCCAAGAAGAAAAUGUAGCCAUUGGUGCCAUCUAUCGACCACAGGUUAAAGAUUGGCGAUUCGUUGGAUACCGACCGAGUUAUAGGCAAAACUUGGUGCAAAAAUGAGCCUUAGUUUUAUUUUUUUUAAUCUUUUGAUUUUUUUAUUAUUUUUCACUAUUUUUUUUAUUUGAAGCAUUACUAGAGUGAAAAGAAACACAUUGCAACCAAUUGGCAUUAAAAUAAAUCAAUUUCAUUUUUUUUGCAAAAUUUCCCAAAAAAAUCGUAAGGGGUAAGCCUUAUGAAAUUUUCGAGCUGAAAAUUUUUUUUAAAAUUUUUUUCUGAUUUUUUAUUAUUUUUUUAAUUUAAAGCAUUAUUUGAGUGAAAAGAAACACAUUGCAACAAAUUUGCAUGAAAAUAUAUGACAUUUAAAAAUUUUGCUAAAUUGCUCAAAAAUGAGGAAAAUUUUACAUUUUUUCAAACAGGGUAAGGAACUUGGUUCCUCGAAUAACUUCUGCCACAGACAUCUGAGGGCAUGGCCGUCCAAGAAGAAAAUGUAGCCAUUGGUGCCAUCUAUCGACCACAGGUUAAAGAUUGGCGAUCCGUUGGAUACCGACCGAGUUAUAGGCAAAACUUGAUGCAAAAAUGAGGAAAAUUUUACAUUUUUUCAAACAGGGUAAGGAACUUGGUUCCUCGAAUAACUUCUGGCACAGACAUCUGAGGGCAUGGCCGUCCAAGAAGAAAAUGUAGCCAUUGGUGCCAUCUAUCGACCACAGGUUAAAGAUUGGCGAUCCGUUGGAUACCGACCGAGUUAUAGGCAAAACUUGAUGCAAAAAUGAGGAAAAUUUUACAUUUUUUCAAACAGGGUAAGGAACUUGGUUCCUCGAAUAACUUCUGCCACAGACAUCUGAGGGCAUGGCCGUCCAAGAAGAAAAUGUAGCCAUUGGUGCCAUCUAUUGACCACAGGUUAAAGAUUGGCGAUCCGUUGGAUACCGACCGAGUUAUAGGCAAAACUUGAUGCAAAAAUGAGGAAAAUUUUACAUUUUUUCAAACAGGGUAAGGAACUUGGUUCCUCGAAUAACUUCUGGCACAGACAUCUGAGGGCAUGGCCGUCCAAGAAGAAAAUGUAGCCAUUGGUGCCAUCUAUCGACCACAGGUUAAAGAUUGGCGAUUCGUUGGAUACCGACCGAGUUAUAGGCAAAACUUGAUGCAAAAAUGAGGAAAAUUUUACAUUUUCUCAAACAGGGUAAGGAACUUGGUUCCUCGAAUAACUUCUGCCACAGACAUCUGAGGGCAUAUCCGUCCAAGAAGAAAAUGUAGCCAUUGGUGCCAUCUAUCGACCACAGGUUAAAGAUUGGCGAUUUGUUGGAUAUC